AUUGAACGCUGGCGGCAUGCCUUACACAUGCAAGUCGAACGGCAGCACGGGAGCUUGCUCCUGGUGGCGAGUGGCGAACGGGCGAGUAAUACAUCGGAACGUACCCUGAAGUGGGGGAUAACGUAGCGAAAGUUACGCUAAUACCGCAUAUUCUGUGAGCAGGAAAGAGGGGGAUCGCAAGACCUCUUGCUUUAGGAGCGGCCGAUGUCGGAUUAGCUAGUUGGUGAGGUAAAGGCUCACCAAGGCGACGAUCCGUAGCGGGUCUGAGAGGAUGAUCCGCCACACUGGGACUGAGACACGGCCCAGACUCCUACGGGAGGCAGCAGUGGGGAAUUUUGGACAAUGGGCGCAAGCCUGAUCCAGCCAUGCCGCGUGAGUGAAGAAGGCCUUCGGGUUGUUAAA
rnacentral:rRNA from 1 species